rnacentral:rRNA from 1 species
AUUGAACGCUGGCGGAAUGCUUUACACAUGCAAGUCGAGCGGCAGCGCGGGGGCAACCCUGGCGGCGAGCGGCGAACGGGUGAGUAACAUAUCGGAACGUACCCCGUCGUGGGGGAUAACACAGCGAAAGCUGUGCUAAUACCGCAUACGACCUGAGGGUGAAAGCGGGGGAUCGCAAGACCUCGCGCGAUGGGAGCGGCCGAUAUCGGAUUAGCUUGUUGGUGAGGUAAAGGCUCA